GUCGACCGAAGCUGCUUGCAGUGGACGUUGAUUGACGUGAGUGGCGGACGGGUGAGUAACACGUGGGUAACCUACCCUUAAGUGGGGGAUAACAUUUGGAAACAGAUGCUAAUACCGCAUAACCAUUCAGACCACAUGGUCUGAAUGUAAAAGACGGCCUUUGGCUGUCACUUUUGGACGGACCCGCGGCGUAUUAGUUAGUUGGUAAGGUAACGGCUUACCAAGACAAUGAUACGUAGCCGACCUGAGAGGGUAAUCGGCCACAUUGGGACUGAGACACGGCCCAAACUCCUACGGGAGGCAGCAGUAGGGAAUCUUCCACAAUGGACGAAAGUCUGAUGGAGCAACGCCGCGUGAGUGAAGAAGGUUUUAGGAUCGUAAAACUCUGUUGUUGGAGAAGAACAGGGACUAGAGUAACUGUUAGUCCUUUGACGGUAUCCAACCAGAAAGCCACGGCUAACUACGUGCCAGCAGCCGCGGUAAUACGUAGGUGGCAAGCGUUGUCCGGAUUUAUUGGGCGUAAAGCGAGCGCAGGC
rnacentral:rRNA from 1 species